AGAGUUUGAUCAUGGCUCAGAUUGAACGCUGGCGGCAGGCCUAACACAUGCAAGUCGAGCGGAUGACAGGAGCUUGCUCCUGAAUUCAGCGGCGGACGGGUGAGUAAUGCCUAGGAAUCUGCCUGGUAGUGGGGGACAACGUUUCGAAAGGAACGCUAAUACCGCAUACGUCCUACGGGAGAAAGCAGGGGACCUUCGGGCCUUGCGCUAUCAGAUGAGCCUAGGUCGGAUUAGCUAGUUGGUGAGGUAAUGGCUCACCAAGGCGACGAUCCGUAACUGGUCUGAGAGGAUGAUCAGUCACACUGGAACUGAGACACGGUCCAGACUCCUACGGGAGGCAGCAGUGGGGAAUAUUGGACAAUGGGCGAAAGCCUGAUCCAGCCAUGCCGCGUGUGUGAAGAAGGUCUUCGGAUUGUAAAGCACUUUAAGUUGGGAGGAAGGGCAUUAACCUAAUACGUUAGUGUUUUGACGUUACCGACAGAAUAAGCACCGGCUAACUCUGUGCCAGCAGCCGCGGUAAUACAGAGGGUGCAAGCGUUAAUCGGAAUUACUGGGCGUAAAGCGCGCGUAGGUGGUUUGUUAAGUUGGAUGUGAAAGCCCCGGGCUCAACCUGGGAACUGCAUUCAAAACUGACAAGCUAGAGUAUGGUAGAGGGUGGUGGAAUUUCCUGUGUAGCGGUGAAAUGCGUAGAUAUAGGAAGGAACACCAGUGGCGAAGGCGACCACCUGGACUGAUACUGACACUGAGGUGCGAAAGCGUGGGGGAGCAAACAGGAUUAGAUACCCUGGUAGUCCACGCCGUAAACGAUGUCAACUAGCCGUUGGGAGCCUUGAGCUCUUAGUGGCGCAGCUAACGCAUUAAGUUGACCGCCUGGGGAGUACGGCCGCAAGGUUAAAACUCAAUGAAUUGACGGGGGCCCGCACAAGCGGUGGAGCAUGUGGUUUAAUUCG
rnacentral:rRNA from 1 species